rnacentral:rRNA from 1 species
CAGCCGCCGCGGGAAAACGUAGGGUGCAAGCGUUAAUCGGAAUUACUGGGCGUAAAGCGUGCGCAGGCGGUUUGUUAAGACAGAUGUGAAAUCCCCGGGCUCAACCUGGGAACUGCAUUUGUGACUGGCAAGCUAGAGUGUGGCAGAGGGGGGUGGAAUUCCGCGUGUAGCAGUGAAAUGCGUAGAUAUGCGGAGGAACACCGAUGGCGAAGGCAGCCCCCUGGGCCAACACUGACGCUCAUGCACGAAAGCGUGGGGAGCAAACAGGAUUAGAUACCCGUGUAGUCCCUGUCUCUUAUAC